AACGAACGCUGGCGGCGUGGAUUAGGCAUGCAAGUCGAACGAGAAUCUGAGAGUUCAAGUUUUUCGGACAAGAACUUUUGGAGGAAAGUGGCGGAAGGGUGAGUACAACAUGGAUAAUCUACCUUCAAGUUGGGUAUAGCUUCCCGAAAGGGGAGAUAAUCCCGAAUGUGGUGAUCCGGCGCAUGCCGGAGAAUCCAAAGGCGGGGACCGCAAGGCCUGCCGCUUGGAGAUGAGUCCGUGCACUAUCAGCUAGUUGGCGGGGUAACGGCCCACCAAGGCGAUGACGGUUAGCUGGUCUGAGGGGAUGGUCAGCCACACUGGGACUGAGAUACUGCCCAGACUCCUACGGGAGGCUGCAGUCGAGAAUCAUUCGCAAUGGGCGCAAGCCUGACGGUGCGACGUCGCGUGGAGGAUGAAGGUCUUCGGAUUGUAAACUCCUGUCAUGUGGGAGAAAGUGGCCCGGGUCUGAACAGGACCGUGGGAAUGAUAGUACCACG
rnacentral:rRNA from 1 species